AAAUCUCACGCCGAAACGCCCCCGUGCGGAGCUUCCUGCUCGCCCUCACCUUACCAGGUCACGCCAAUGCUGGAGCUCCCAAUGCUGCUCGUGAACGAUACUAAACGCGGGGGUUGUGAGAAAAGCCACAUUUCAAAGGCGUCUUGUGACACGUUUUAAAGACACAGCAGGUUUGCGGUGGCUUUCGUGCAGGGCUUUGCCCAAGAUUAUACCCCCUGCCCCCAUCUGCCAAGGCUUUCAGGUGGUGAUAAAGGAUGCAGCUCUAAGACAAAGAACUAAUAGAGGAUACUUACAAAACACUGAAAAAAUAUGCACAAAAUGUCCUUCAAGAGCAGAUUAUGUUGUUUGGCAUUCUUUACUAUUCUGCUGAAGUCGAGCAACAGGGGUUAAAACCUUGAUUUCCAGCUGCGAAUUGAGGAACUUAUGACCCUGAGAAGUCUGCAAAAAGUAUUGUGAGCUAAUGGAUCUUUGCUAGCUUGUAUUGCCUGCUUAUACUUGACGUAAUUUAGAUACAAUCUGAAAGAAUAAUCGCAUUUGGGGUAGUUGAACUUGUAAUUGUCUUAUUAAAACAAAUAAGCUUUUGAAGACACCCCCCAUUUCAUAUAAAUAGGAUUUUAUUUAUAUUUAAAUUGAUUUUUUACACUUUUUUUACUGAUUCUGAUGGUUAUAUCUCAUCAUUUUCAAAUUUAACUUUAAAUAUAAUAUUUAAAAGACAGCUGCUUUUCUUCUAAAAAAACAAAAGUAGAAAUUUAACUAUUUUAAAAGCAUUUUAACUGCCUGGUUUGAAUUUGUAAAUAUUAAAUAAAUAAAUAAAACAAAUAAACAACCAAAUAAAUAAAAACAGUACAAUCCUAUACAGGUGCAUUCAAAGCUUAUUUGAAUUGAAUAGGUCUUUUCCUCCUUCAAGUGGGAAAACCACAUAUAGUUAAAAUUUUCUAGAUAGUUUUUUUGAUUUGGAAAACCCCAUAUUUGAGAUCUUCUGAAUCAGACUAUUUUUCAAAUACAUUUUAAAAAUUAGAAACAAAACAGCACUUUGCUGAUAAUAUAUUUCUGCCAGUUCAGCAGGGUUUCUUUGAGAAGUUUGUAUUAAACAUAUCAUCUAGACAGUAAAUGAGAUAACCCUAGCAUGUGCACAGCCUAGAUGUUGGCAAGCUUAUCCCAAAAUUUGAAUAACAUUAGUCCUGUCAGUGGGAUUUUGCCAAGUAUGCACUCCUCAUUUUCUACAAAAUGAGCACAAAAUGUGUGAGUUCUAAUCAUUCUUAAAAAUAUAUGAAAAUAUAUCAGGAUUCUCAAAUUUUGUGGUCAAUUUGCAUGAAUUGAUGACCAACUUGCCACAUGGUAAGCCUUUCUGAUCCAGUUGGCCAAUCAAUAACACAAACCUGAAAAAAGUUUGCAGAUACAUGCCAACCGUCCUGUGUUAUUGCUCUUCACUAAAAUAACAGAUCCUGAGCAAUCAUUUGUGUCUAGAUCAUAGAUUGUAUCAGCCAUUGUAUUGCCUCCAUUAAAACUCUUGUCCCAAUUCUUUUUGUUGUUUUCUAAGACUCCAUCUUUGAUGCCAGCCCAAUAGCAUCCUCCUAUGGCAACAUCUUCCAAUGAGAAACAAAACUAAAUCAACCUCCAACCUCAGCUUCUUUUAUCAAAAACCAUUACAAUAACUUUGGAUGUUUGUGAUAAUACAUGGACAAGAUGCCCAUGGAUGAAUUUGUCUAUCAUUUUAAAAACAUGUGAUAUUUUUGUUGCAAAAUAUGGAUUUAAAAUUGCUGCAUAAAAAGAAUAUCUUAACACAUAUCAAACAUAGAAGAUAUACACUUUCCUUUAACAUAAAAAAUGUCAUGCUGAAACAAGGUUCAUAUAGAAAUUGUGAUGGAUUUGACGUUGGAUAAUAAAACCAUUAGAGGUACUCUUAAAAGUAUUAAAUACAACUGUAAAACACGUUAUAUUUUUGUAUUUAACUUUCAGCAAAACUACUGCAAAAUGGAACAUAUGUGUAUAAACUAAGCUGGAUAGAAAAAUGUAUACCGUUUAACAGACAGCAUGGUAUUGCAUUUAUCUUGUUUUCAAUUGUAUAAUCAUUACAGGAACGGCAAUGGUCAACAUCAGGAGUGUCAAACACGCUGCGUCACAUGAUGUCACGACAUAUCACAACUUUUUCCCCCUUGACGGAGCUGGAGUGGAUGUGGCUUCUGCAUGACGCAUCCAGCCCGCGGGGCGGCUGUCAACGCUGCUAACAUCGGAUGUUUUUGCUUUGCUAAGUUAGGGAUGCAACCAUUUUCUUCUUACGUUUUACUUUUAGAGUUAGAUGAUGCUGG